rnacentral:rRNA from 1 species
GACGAACGCUGGCGGCGUGCUUAACCCAUGCAAGUCGAACGGAAAGGCCCUGCUUUUGUGGGGUGCUCGAGUGGCGAACGGGUGAGUAACACGUGAGUAACCUGCCCUUGACUUUGGGAUAACUUCAGGAAACUGGGGCUAAUCCCGGCUAGGAGCUCCUGCUGCAUGGUGGGGGUUGGAAAGUUUCGGCGGUUGGGGAUGGACUCGCGGCUUAUCAGCUUGUUGGUGGGGUAGUGGCUUACCAAUGCUUUGACGGGUAGCCGGCCUGAGAGGGUGACCGGCCACAUUGGGACUGAGAUACGGCCCAGACUCCGACGGGAGGCAGCAGUGGGGAAUAGUGCACAAUGGGCGGAAGCCUGAUGCAGCAACGCCGCGUGCGGGAUGACGGCCUUCGGGUUGUAAACCGCUUUCGCCUGUGACGAAGCGGGAGUGACGGUAAUGGGUAAAGAAGCACCGGCUAACUACGUG